CUGUAUUUAGGAUAGUGCUAGAUCGUUAAUCGAAGUACGCCCGUAACAAUGACUAGUGAUAGCUACAGCAGCAGUCUAUAGUAGAUGUUAAGAAUGCUAUAUAGAGUUUACUAGAGUGGCCACUGAGACCUUGAAUUACACAUUUAUUUUGGUUUGGUUUGAUCCCAGUCCAUUUCUUGGUGUGAUUUCCAGUGGGACCAGAAUCAGAAUAAGAGUGCAAAGUGACUAUAAUUAUUAAAACAUGAGUGAAAUGGAAUGUAAUGCACUCAUUUAUUAUUUCCUUUGUAUUCCCUUUGUUUAUUCUUACCUCUUUCCAUUAUAUUCUCGCUACCACUAUUUCUAUAUGUUUAUAAAUAUGUACGCAU
rnacentral:sRNA from 1 species